AACUGGACCUGAAGGUUGGGAGCGAGCAUUGAGGCGACAAUCCGAUAGAGUUCUAGUACCAAAGAUAGUGAAAAGUAAAAAUUUGACUGAGAGUGACCCUAUAUAUAGGAUCCCUCAAUGACUGAGAUGAAAGCAAUCAAAUCGAAGAUCUACCAAAUAAAGACAAAUGGCAACAUCUGGACAACCAUUGAUCGGAUGGUUUGACGCACCUACUCC
rnacentral:lncRNA from 1 species